UAGGGAAUAUUGGGCAAUGCUCGCAAGAGUGACCCAGCCAUGCCGCGUGCAGGAAGAAGGCCUUCUGGGUUGUAAACUGCUUUUGGAAGGGAACAAAAUGGGCAUGCGUGCCAACUUGAGUGUACCUUCAGAAUAAGCACCGGCUAACUCCGUGCCAGCAGCCGCGGUAAUACGGAGGGUGCAAGCGUUGUCCGGAUUUAUUGGGUUUAAAGGGUGCGUAGGCGGCUUAUUAAGUCAGGGGUGAAAGACUAUUGCUUAACAAUGGCAGUGCCUUUGAUACUGAUAGGCUUGAGUACAGCUGAGGCAGAUGGAACGGGUGGUGUAGCGGUGAAAUGCAUAGAUACCAUCCAGAACACCGAUUGCGAAGGCAGUCUGCUAAACUGUAACUGACGCUGAGGCACGAAAGCGUGGGGAUCGAACAGG
rnacentral:rRNA from 1 species